rnacentral:rRNA from 1 species
UUAAGCGACUAAGCGUACACGGUGGAUGCCCUGGCAGUCAGAGGCGAUGAAGGACGUGCUAAUCUGCGAUAAGCGUCGGUAAGGUGAUAUGAACCGUUAUAACCGGCGAUUUCCGAAUGGGGAAACCCAGUGUGUUUCGACACACUAUCAUUAACUGAAUCCAUAGGUUAAUGAGGCGAACCGGGGGAACUGAAACAUCUAAGUACCCCGAGGAAAAGAAAUCAACCGAGAUUCCCCCAGUAGCGGCGAGCGAACGGGGAGCAGCCCAGAGCCUGAAUCAGUGUGUGUGUUAGUGGAAGCGUCUGGAAAGGCGCGCGAUACAGGGUGACAGCCCCGUACACAAAAAUGCACAUGCUGUGAGCUCGAUGAGUAGGGCGGGACACGUGGUAUCCUGUCUGAAUAUGGGGGGACCAUCCUCCAAGGCUAAAUACUCCUGACUGACCGAUAGUGAACCAGUACCGUGAGGGAAAGGCGAAAAGAACCCCGGCGAGGGGAGUGAAAAAGAACCUGAAACCGUGUACGUACAAGCAGUGGGAGCACGCUUAGGCGUGUGACUGCGUACCUUUUGUAUAAUGGGUCAGCGACUUAUAUUCUGUAGCAAGGUUAACCGAAUAGGGGAGCCGAAGGGAAACCGAGUCUUAACUGGGCGUCUAGUUGCAAGGUAUAGACCCGAAACCCGGUGAUCUAGCCAUGGGCAGGUUGAAGGUUGGGUAACACUAACUGGAGGACCGAACCGACUAAUGUUGAAAAAUUAGCGGAUGACUUGUGGCUGGGGGUGAAAGGCCAAUCAAACCGGGAGAUAGCUGGUUCUCCCCGAAAGCUAUUUAGGUAGCGCCUCGUGAAUUCAUCUCCGGGGGUAGAGCACUGUUUCGGCAAGGGGGUCAUCCCGACUUACCAACCCGAUGCAAACUGCGAAUACCGGAGAAUGUUAUCACGGGAGACACACGGCGGGUGCUAACGUCCGUCGUGAAGAGGGAAACAACCCAGACCGCCAGCUAAGGUCCCAAAGUCAUGGUUAAGUGGGAAACGAUGUGGGAAGGCCCAGACAGCCAGGAUGUUGGCUUAGAAGCAGCCAUCAUUUAAAGAAAGCGUAAUAGCUCACUGGUCGAGUCGGCCUGCGCGGAAGAUGUAACGGGGCUAAACCAUGCACCGAAGCUGCGGCAGCGACGCUUAUGCGUUGUUGGGUAGGGGAGCGUUCUGUAAGCCUGUGAAGGUGUGCUGUGAGGCAUGCUGGAGGUAUCAGAAGUGCGAAUGCUGACAUAAGUAACGAUAAAGCGGGUGAAAAGCCCGCUCGCCGGAAGACCAAGGGUUCCUGUCCAACGUUAAUCGGGGCAGGGUGAGUCGACCCCUAAGGCGAGGCCGAAAGGCGUAGUCGAUGGGAAACAGGUUAAUAUUCCUGUACUUGGUGUUACUGCGAAGGGGGGACGGAGAAGGCUAUGUUGGCCGGGCGACGGUUGUCCCGGUUUAAGCGUGUAGGCUGGUUUUCCAGGCAAAUCCGGAAAAUCAAGGCUGAGGCGUGAUGACGAGGCACUACGGUGCUGAAGCAACAAAUGCCCUGCUUCCAGGAAAAGCCUCUAAGCAUCAGGUAACAUCAAAUCGUACCCCAAACCGACACAGGUGGUCAGGUAGAGAAUACCAAGGCGCUUGAGAGAACUCGGGUGAAGGAACUAGGCAAAAUGGUGCCGUAACUUCGGGAGAAGGCACGCUGAUAUGUAGGUGAAGUCCCUCGCGGAUGGAGCUGAAAUCAGUCGAAGAUACCAGCUGGCUGCAACUGUUUAUUAAAAACACAGCACUGUGCAAACACGAAAGUGGACGUAUACGGUGUGACGCCUGCCCGGUGCCGGAAGGUUAAUUGAUGGGGUCAGCGCAAGCGAAGCUCUUGAUCGAAGCCCCGGUAAACGGCGGCCGUAACUAUAACGGUCCUAAGGUAGCGAAAUUCCUUGUCGGGU